rnacentral:rRNA from 1 species
UACGGGGGGGGCAAGCGUUGUUCGGAAUUACUGGGCGUAAAGGGCGCGUAGGCGGUUUGCUAAGUUGGAUGUGAAAACUCUGGGCUUAACCCAGAGCCUGCAUCCAAAACUGGCAAACUUGAGUACUGGAGGGGAAAGCGGAAUUCCUGGUGUAGCGGUGAAAUGCGUAGAUAUCAGGAGGAACACCGGUGGCGAAGGCGGCUUUCUGGACAGUAACUGACGCUGAGGCGCGAAAGCCAGGGGAGCAAACGGG